rnacentral:rRNA from 1 species
AUACGGAGGGUGCAAGCGUUAUUCGGAAUCACUGGGCGUAAAGGACUCGUAGGCGGGUUGGCAAGUCAGAUGUGAAAUCCUACAGCUUAACUGUAGAACUGCAUUUGAAACUGCUAACCUAGAGUAUGGGAGGGGGAGAUGGAAUUAGUGGUGUAGGGGUAAAAUCCGUAGAUAUCACUAGGAAUACCGAAAGCGAAGGCGAUCUCCUGGAACAUAACUGACGCUAAGGCGUGAAAGCGUGGGGAGCAAACAGGAUUAGAAACCCUAGUAGUCC